AUACAGAGGGUGCGAGCGUUAAUCGGAAUUACUGGGCGUAAAGCGCGCGUAGGCGGCUUAUUAAGUCAGAUGUGAAAUCCCCGGGCUCAACCUGGGAACUGCAUCUGAUACUGGUAAGCUAGAGUUUUGGAGAGGGAAGUAGAAUUUCAGGUGUAGCGGUGGAAUGCAUAGAGAUCUGAAGGAAUACCAGUGGCGAGGGCGACUUCCUGGCCAAAAACUGACGCUGAGGUGCGAAAGCGUGGGUAGCAAACGGGAUUAGAAACCCUAGUAGUCC
rnacentral:rRNA from 1 species